rnacentral:lncRNA from 1 species
AAUCUCAUCUGGUGUGCUUUUAUCUGAGUGGGAAAAUGUGUUGUUUGCUGAGAAGUCUCUUCUGCUGCCUUCCUUCUAUUUGUUGCUUCUUACGGUUCAGCCCCUGACUUUCCUACCAGAGUGAGAGAAGAGCGCUGCCCAGCAAUAGAACAGCAUGACAUUUCACUCAGCAGGUUGAAAAUCAUGAUUAAAGGAACACAGGGACUGUGCACAAACAGCUCUGGUGGACCGAGGAAAGGCAGUUCUCAAUCUGAGGGAGCUGAAAACCUCAUCCAAGUCGUGUUGGUUUAUGGAAGGCCAGCUGCCCUGUGGGGCUGAUCUGAUGGCUGGUGCAGGAUGACAGUCUGUCCAUUCUCACAAAGGGCUUCCCUGCAACAGAGCUGUGUGAUCCAGCAAAGGAAGCUCAUGGUGACCGGCUCAGGAAAAGUUAAGAUAGCAUAAAGCAGUCUCGCACUGCU